AGCAUAUCAAUAAGCGGAGGAAAAGAAACUAACAAGGAUUCCCUUAGUAGCGGCGAGCGAAGCGGGAAAAGCCCAGAACCGAAUCCCAGCGGUCUUGUGCUGCUGGGAAAUGUGGUGUUUGGUAUACUCCUUACGGUGCAUUGGAGUCGUUCUAAGUCCACGUGAUUGUGGCUUAAAAGCCCAGAGAGGGUGUAAGGCCCGUGAGAACGAUACAGUGUAUUCAUUGGAGUGUUCCUAGAGUCGGAUUGUUUGGGAAUGCAGUCCAAAGUGGGUGGUAAGCUCCAUCCAAGGCUAAAUACAACACGAGUCCGAUAGCGAACAAGUACCAUGAGGGAAAGUUGAAAAGAACUUUGAAGAGAGAGUUCAAUAGUGCGUGAAACCGCUCAGAGGUAAACAGGCAGAGCCGAAGAAGGGGUGUACAUUUGUCUUCCGCGAUAACUCAUGCUGAUGUUUAAGGAGAUUCGUAAGAACUCCCACGUUGGUGUGUAGUGUCGUGUUGGGCUAUUGUGCAUUUCCGGCACCACGAUCAGUGCCUAGAUUGGCCAUGUCAUACGGGGAAAGUUAACUGGUUCUUUUUGAACUAGAAUUUAUAGACUCUGUGUACAGCGCCGGUCGAACACUGAGAAAUGCGAUGCAGGACAAUGUGGUGUACAUGUUAGUGCUGGUUGCUGGUGCUCGGUAUUGACUCUAAGAGAUAAUGCCGGGUUGUCGGUGGUCGGUAUUGACCUCUGUAUACUGCAGGAAUGAAUCCGUGGUGAUUAUGUAAGCAAUCUGCCUGACCCGUCUUGAAACACGGACCAAGGAGUUUAGCAUGUGCGCGAGUCAUGGGGUCGUACGAAACCUAAAGGCGAAGUGAAAGUAAAGGCUUACAUUUUCGUGAGCUGAGGUAGGAUCUCGGUUUCUAUGUACAUUUUGUNNNAGUACUGAGCGCACUACCAGCUCGUCCAAUGCUUUAUUAAGCAGGGCGACGCAAGAGCGCACACGCUGAGACCCGAAAGAUGGUGAACUAUGCUUGUGUAGGCUGAAGCCAGAGGAAACUCUGGUGGAGGGCCGUAGCGAUUCUGACGUGCAAAUCGAUCGUCAAACAUGAGUAUAGGGGCGAAAGACUAAUCGAACCAUCUAGUAGCUGGUUCCCUCCGAAGUUUCCCUCAGGAUAGCUGGCACUCGAGAAAGAAACAGUUUUAUCCGGUAAAGCGAAUGAUUAGAAGUAUUGGGGAAAAACAUUCCUCAACUUAUUCUCAAACUUUAAAUGGGUGAGAAGCUGAACUCUCUUAAAUUGGAGUUGGGCAUUGAAUGUGAGUGCCUAGUGGGCCAUUUUUGGUAAGCAGAACUGGCGCUGUGGGAUGAACCAAACGUCUGGUUAAGGAGCCUAACACGACGCUCAUCAGAUACCACAAAAGGUGUUGGUUGAUAUAGACAGCAGGACGGUGGCCAUGGAAGUUGGAAUCCGCUAAGGAGUGUGUAACAACUCACCUGCCGAAUCAACUAGCCCUGAAAAUGGAUGGCGCUGGAGCGUUGGUCCUAUACCAGACCGAUACCGCAAGUCGCAUAAAUUGGAAGCAGUAUCGAGUAGGAGGGCGCUGUGGUGAGCAUUGAAGCUUCGGUCGUGAGACUGGGUGGAGCCGCCACGGGUGCAGAUCUUGGUGGUAGUAGCAAAUAUUCAAGUGAGAACCUUGAA
rnacentral:rRNA from 1 species